AUUGAACGCUGGCGGCAGGCCUAACACAUGCAAGUCGAACGGUAACAGGAAGAAGCUUGCUUCUUUGCUGACGAGUGGCGGACGGGUGAGUAAUGUCUGUGAAACUUCCUGAUUGAGGGGGAUAACUACUGGAAACGGUAGCUUAUACCGCAUAACGUCGCAAGACCAAAGACAGGGACCUUCGGGCCUCUUGCCAUCUGAUAUGCCCAGAUGGGAUUAGCUAGUAGUUGGGGUAACGGCUCACCUAGGCGACGAUCCCUAGCUGGUCUGAGAGGAUGACCAGCCACACUGGAACUGAGACACGGUCCAGACUACUACGGGAGGCAGGAGUGGGGAAUAUUGAACAAUGGGCGGAAGCCUGAUGCAGCCAUGCCGAGUGUAUGAAGAAGGCAUUCGGGUUGUAAAGUACUUUCAGCGGGGAGGAAGGGUGUAAAGUUAAUACCUUUGCUCAUUGACGUUACCCUCAGAAGAAGCACCAGCUAACUCCGUG
rnacentral:rRNA from 1 species